GGUCGCAUGCACAGUCGAGGUAAGGGUAUUUCAGCAUCUGCUUUGCCUUAUAAGAGAACCCCUCCAAGUUGGCUCAAGAUUUCUCCUCAGGAUGUCGAGGAUAACAUCUGCAAGUUCGCAAAGAAAGGCUUGACACCAUCUCAAAUUGGUGUCAUCCUUCGUGACUCUCAUGGGAUUGCUCAAGUGAAGAGUGUUACUGGGAGCAAGAUUUUACGGAUAUUAAAGGCGCAUGGACUUGCUCCUGAAAUACCUGAAGAUUU
rnacentral:misc_RNA from 1 species